AGCUGCUUCGGCUGAUCGCUCGACACACCAAACUCUUGGUUCAGCUCUCUCAAAGUCUUGUCUAUCUCCAUUUGAAGCGUACUAACAUGGUCUAGACCCGACUGCAGCUCUUCUCUCACCUUAUUAUUCUCUUGCUUCAUAUUCAAUAUCUCGCCUUGCAGUUUCGCAGCUUGAUGACUGCUGAAGCUAAUCUCUUCUUCCUCGACGCCUUCGUUGAGUGCCUUCAUUAUCUCCUCCUGGAUGUUGCACAGAGAGGCGAACCUCCGUUUCAGCUCGUCUUUUAAGGUAUAGCUUUGCUCUAACCAUACGGUGAGCUCUGUCUGAAUUUCGCGGAGGUGCUUGUAAAUGGGCCGGGCCUCGGAUUUUUGUUGGGCCGUGAUUGACCCUUCUUGGUUCCUCCUUUUGUCCUUUAGCUUCGAUAUCUCUUCUUGCAAGUCCUGCACUUCGCUCUUGAAUUUUUGCACCUGGUGGAACGUCGUGCUGAAUCUUAGCCAGAAAUCAAGAUUCUCG
rnacentral:lncRNA from 1 species